AUCCUCCCAAUGCUUACCACAGACAAUGUUGUCCUUCCCGCUGUCUGUAUAGAAAGAGGAGGUAGAGUAGUAAUAUCUCCGUCUACACCACAGCUCCACGGUGUGCAGGGGCUGUAUUGUUAUCGGGGGUACAGAC